rnacentral:rRNA from 1 species
AGUCGAGCGAUGGAUUAAGAGCUUGCUCUUAUGAAGUUAGCGGCGGACGGGUGAGUAACACGUGGGUAACCUACCCAUAAGACUGGGAUAACUCCGGGAAACCGGGGCUAAUACCGGAUAAUAUUUUGAACUGCAUAGUUCGAAAUUGAAAGGCGGCUUCGGCUGUCACUUAUGGAUGGACCCGCGUCGCAUUAGCUAGUUGGUGAGGUAACGGCUCACCAAGGCGACGAUGCGUAGCCGACCUGAGAGGGUGAUCGGCCACACUGGGACUGAGACACGGCCCAGACUCCUACGGGAGGCAGCAGUAGGGAAUCUUCCGCAAUGGACGAAAGUCUGACGGAGCAACGCCGCGUGAGUGAUGAAGGCUUUCGGGUCGUAAAACUCUGUUGUUAGGGAAGAACAAGUGCUAGUUGAAUAAGCUGGCACCUUGACGGUACCUAACCAGAAAGCCACGGCUAACUACGUGCCAGCAGCCGCGGUAAUACGUAGGUGGCAAGCGUUAUCCGGAAUUAUUGGGCGUAAAGCGCGCGCAGGUGGUUUCUUAAGUCUGAUGUGAAAGCCCACGGCUCAACCGUGGAGGGUCAUUGGAAACUGGGAGACUUGAGUGCAGAAGAGGAAAGUGGAAUUCCAUGUGUAGCGGUGAAAUGCGUAGAGAUAUGGAGGAACACCAGUGGCGAAGGCGACUUUCUGGUCUGUAACUGACACUGAGGCGCGAAAGCGUGGGGAGCAACAGGAUUAGAUACCUGGUAGUC